GCUCGAGUGGCGAACGGGUGAGUAACACGUGAGUAACCUGCCCUUGACUUUGGGAUAACUUCAGGAAACUGGGGCUAAUACCGGAUAGGAGCUCCUGCUGCAUGGUGGGGGUUGAAGUUCGGCGGUUGGGGAUGGACUCGCGGCUUAUCAGCUUGUUGGUGGGGUAGUGGCUUACCAAGGCUUUGACGGGUAGCCGGCCUGAGAGGGUGACCGGCCACAUUGGGACUGAGAUACGGCCCAG
rnacentral:rRNA from 1 species